UAGUUAUAAUCGUGUCUCAAAGAAUGAACCAAACAUGUCUCAGUAUAAGUGCCUCACUUGGAAAAUGCCGAUGGCUCUUUUAAACAGUUAUAGCUUCCAUGUUCAUUGUUUAUUAACUGGAUAUCCCCGGUAAUUCCAGAGAUAAUGCAUGCGUUCAUCCCCGUCCUUUUCGGGAAGGGUGUGCUUAUUUUACAUUGAACCAUUCCGGCUUGCCCGGUUUUGAGGUGAUUCAUGGUAAUUGAAUGAAUCGCAAAUUUUGGCGGGGAUGAUUCAUUCAAGUUUCUAACCUAUCAAAAUUUGAUGGUAGGGUAUUGGCCUACCGGGGGUUUUUUGGGUAACGGAGAAUUACGGUUUGAAUUCGGGGAGGGAGCCUGAGAAACGGCUACCACAUCUAAGGAAGGCCGCAGGGGGGCCAACUACCCAAUACCGACUCAGGGAGGUAGUGCCGAUGAAACACCAAUACGAGGCUCUUUUUUUUUGUAAACGGAAAGGGCCCAAUUUUAAAAACUAUUCGAGUAUUGAUU
rnacentral:rRNA from 1 species